CUUUGAGUUGUCAAAGAAAGGUGAAGAGCGCAGCUGCAAAAUGUCAAAGGAGCUCAGAUGUCGGCUCAUCCGAAACACCAUGACUAGUAUGAUUGCAAUCCUGAGGGCAAAAGGGGAUGGAGAGUCGCAUAGAUACCCAUCAAAACCAGAAAUCACAGCAAUGGCAAAGAGAAUAGUGCAGUACUACCCUAUGCUACAGGACCAAGGCAUCAAGAAUACAUGGGUUACCGUGUACACACAGCUAAACAAAAGACUGCAAAAUGUGAGAUCCCCCCAAAAAGCCACUCCAGAUGGGAGACAUUCAAAGAGCUCUGCCAAGAGGCGACGUCUUGAUCAGCCAAGUGACGUAGAAGAAAUGGAUUCAAGUGAC